rnacentral:rRNA from 1 species
AAGCUCGUAGACGAAUCUGUGUCUUGUGCCGCCGGUGCAUCGCUCGCGGUGUUUAACUGGCGUGUCCGCGAGACGUCCUGCCGGUGGGUUUAGCCCCGUAAAACGGGCGGCCCAACUUGAAAUCCCACCGCGGUGCUCUUGACUGAGUGUUGAGGUGGGCCGGCACGUUUACUUUGAACAGAUUAGAGUGCUUAAAGCAGGCUAAAACUUCGCCUGAAUACUGUGUGCAUGGAAUAAUGGAAUAGGACCUCGGUUCUAUUUUGUUGGUUUUCGGAACCCCGAGGUAAUGAUUAAUAGGAACGGAUGGGGGCAUUCGUAUUGCGACGUUAGAGGUGAAAUUCUUGGAUCGUCGCAAGACGGACAGAAGCGAAAGCAUUUGCCAAAAACGCUUUCAUUGAUCAAGAACGAAAGUUAGAGGUUCGAAGGCGAUCAGAUACCGCCCUAGUUCUAACCAUAAACGAUGCCAGCUAGCGAUCCGCCGACGUUCCUCCGAUGACUCGGCGGGCAGCUUCCGGGAAACCAAAGCUUUUGGGUUCCGGGGGAAGUAUGGUUGCAAAGCUGAAACUUAAAGGAAUUGACGGAAGGGCACCACCAGGAGUGGACGUGCGGCUUAAUUUGACUCAACACGGGAAACCUCACCAGGCCCGGACACCGGAAGGAUUGACAGAUUGAGAGCUCUUUCUUGAUUCGGUGGGUGGUGGUGCAUGGCCGUUCUUAGUUGGUGGAGCGAUUUGUCUGGUUAAUUCCGAUAACGAACGAGACUCUAGCCUGCUAACUAGGCGUAUUUUCGACAUCUUAAAGGCCCGCCGGCCCGUCGCUCAUGCGUCGUGGUCGCGCGCGGUUUUUACUGUCGGCGUAAUAUCAAUUCUUCU